rnacentral:rRNA from 1 species
UACGUAGGGUGCAAGCGUUGUCCGGAAUUAUUGGGCGUAACGAGCUCGUAGGCGGUCUGUCGCGUCGGCUGUGAAAUCCCGAGGCUCAACCUCGGGUCUGCAGUCGAUACGGGCAAACUGGAGUACUGCAGGGGAGACUGGAAUUCCUGGUGUAGCGGUGAAAUGCGCAGAUAUCAGGAGGAACACCGGUGGCGAAGGCGGGUCUCUGGGCAGUAACUGACGCUGAGGAGCGAAAGCGUGGGGAGCGAACAGG